CAUUGCUCUGUGCCUAUUUCAGUGCUUAUAACACAUGAAGCAAGAGGAAUCGCAAAAGAUGGGCUAAUGGAAAAAAAGAGCUUUGGCACAUUCGUCGUCCAGAAUAGAAGCUCCUUCCUCAUCACAUCCAGCAGGCGAUAAUUGCCAGAAAUAGAGUCACAGCUAUUGUAUUCUUCCCAUGACCAUUGAUGAGCCCCAGGUGACUGAUGAUCUACAAAUGCAGUGUAGCAUUCACUGGAUUCACCACAGAUCUCCACCUGCUCCUCAAGAUUACACCUACAGUUCGUUACAGGUCUCGAGGAUGAAUUCUGAGGACUGGAAGAUAGGAAGAUCUUAACCACUGAGCCCACCAUCUCCAGCCAGUCCUCUGCUUCCUGCCCUGUUAUGAGCUUAAUGGAACCGCAGAGUGUCCUAUCCCAAUUUCAUCACCUCCUCUAAGGUCAUAAAGCACAUACAAACAUCCCCAACUUUUAAUAACCACAAUAAUUACUGUACUCUGUUCUUGUCCACACCCAUCCAUUCCUAUUCACCACCCAUCCAUUUCCAUUCCCUAUCCACUUUCUUUCUACUCCCUGAUCUUUUCAUAAAAACACAGAUCAUACUGAGGGACUCCAUAGAAAUCAAAAGAUGGAGAUACAAUGUUGAAAGUAGCUGACAAAUCACAUAUAGCUGUAACAGCAACCUGGUUCAAAUAUGGAGAUACCAGGAUAGCUUCAAGUUGAUUAGAAAUAGACCCUUAAACCCCAUUAGCUCCCGCUACACAAGUAUGUUCUACUAGUGCUUUAGGUUACCAUUUGUAGAAACUUCCAACUAGGUAAAAAAAAUCCUGGUAAUUUAUGCCCAUCAAUUUCUUCUGGUAGGCCCACUAUGCUCACCAAAAUUGAAAGGAAAGGGAAACUCCAGCUGUAAUACCAAUUGGCACUUCUUGACAAUCUAUACUGGAUCAUCUCCCUGCUCCACUCUGGGACUGACCAAGGGACCAGCAAGAUCCAAUAAGAACAUUGGUGAAAAUCUCCCCAUGGCAUGAUAGCACCAUCUCAAACAUUGUCAUACAUCAGCCUGACUUCUCUUCCUGGCUGACACAUACUCCCAGUGCAUUCACCAAGAACAUGCCACAAUAGGACCAGAAUCAGCUUCAGGAGUGAGAGUGAGGGAGAUAAAAGGUAUAAGUUACCUUUUAGUGGGCAUAUAAUGAACAAACAUCAUUGUAUCCUCUAACCCAUCCAUUAAAAAGUCCAUUAAAAAUCCACCUGCAAAACAGUAACUGGCCCCACUAAUACAAGCUUUUCUGACACCAUAUUUCAAAUGGUUUCUUUAAUCCUUUCAAAUAUGGCUGUGUUUAAAUUGACAAAUGAUAGAAGCCAGUUUCCACAGUGCACAAUAUUACAAUACUGUACACCUGUUCAUAAUCCCUACAUGUUAUAUCUAUAAUUAAGUUAAAUUAAGGGAAGAAGAAUGGCGCCUCAUAUGUUUUCUAAUUCACCCAUAUUUGAUCUCCCUAUCAUAAACUUUACUGUGAUUAGAGGCUUCCACACAAUCAGAAAUCAAUUCUACUACCAUUCAAGUAUACUUACAUACGAACCUUUUGUUGACUUUCCUGCUCAAUCUAGAAAAGGUAGAGAUAUCAGAGAUACCGUGAUGGAAACAAUGGUCCUGAAGGCAGAUUAUUAAUCAAAUUUACGUAUUCUGUCCAGGUACAAUAGGGUCCUCAUCCCCUUUGUAAAGUCUUAGAUCUAGACAACUUAUCGUCCUCAUUGUCAUUCUCUGGUUCUCUGAAUUUUUUGUAAAGCAUAGUGCCCAAACUGAACAUAGUAAUCAAGAUGGAAUCUGAGCAAUACAAUGUAACCGUUCCUAAUUUGGAAACUAUACUUAAUGAAAUUUGACAUCAAAUUGCUUAUUUUGCAACCUAAUCAUAUUGCUGACUCACAAUUAGAUUUUGAUCAAGGACUAUUCCUUGAUCUUUUGCACAAGUAUUACAAUCAAGCUCAGUAGCACCAUAAAUUUGUGCAUUUGAUUUCUUUCAUGAGUAACUUUUCAUUUACCAUCAUUUAGUUUCAUUCUGUUUCUAUCUACCUGCUUUCUAGCUUUAUAUUACCUAUACAAAUCAUUUUGAGUUUUCUCUUUAAGCAUAUUAGUAGUUUUGUAUCAUUUGCAAAUCUGAUAAUCAUUCACUUCUCAUGUAAAUCAUUAAUAAUAAAGAUGAACAGCAUCACUCCAACAAUUACACACAGCAGUAUUUUACUUUAUACCUUAUUUCCUAAUGACAAAAGUAGUUUGAACAGUUCUGAAUAGCUGCCUCAGACUUAGAAUGAUUCAGUCUAAAUGUGACUGGACAUGCUUUAAAGCUCAUUAGAAACGUCCUUCUAACCGCUUUCCUUGAUGUUCUGGAGGUACACUGGUAUGUUAUUUUUAUUGCCUACCGCUCAACGUUAUAGCAAAAUAUUUUUUCACUUAUCAACUUGUUAGUUUUUUUGAAUGUUCAAACUUCACAAAUUAGGCUACAUUUUUGUUGACAUCAAAUAAUGUAAUGCAAAGACUUGUGCAAAUUAUAGAUACUAGAUAUAUGUACUAGUAUCUGAAAGUUUUCUGACUCAAAAUUUUCUAGAAAUCUUCCUGACUGGAUUUAAAAAAAAAUAUCCUAUUACACAAUAUGUGUAAUAAAGCAAGACUGAAUUCUGUAGUUCAUUACCCAAGAUUAAAACUCUUAUCUUUUGGAGUAACAGAAACUACCCCACCUAUUAAUGAACAGUUUGCCAGUUUGUAUUCUUAAUAAAAGUAUUAAGAUCAAGGUAAGACCUCAAGAUCCAGACAAGGAAAUCAUUUACGUAAUGUUUCAGUAUCUGUUUUGUAAAAUAAAAAAAAAUCUUACUGCAUUAGUAAGUGUAAGUGCAAAAACGAUUAAAAACUUUUAAUACAAGAAAGUGCAGUCUGAUGGUGAUGGAGAAAUAAGCCUGUUACUGACUGUUGUGAAUAAUAUUAAAAGCCAGAAUGAAAA